rnacentral:rRNA from 1 species
UACGUAGGGUGCAAGCGUUGCCCGGCAUUAUCGGGCGUAAAGAGCUCGUAGGCGGUUUGUCGCGUCUGCUGUGAAAGUUCGGGGCUCAACCCCGGAACUGCAGUGGGUACGGGCAGACUAGAGUGCGGUAGAGGAGACUGGAAUUCCUGGUGUAGCGGUGGAAUGCGCAGAUAUCAGGAGGAACACGAGUGGCGAAGGCGGGUCUCUGGGCCGCAACUGACGCUGAGGAGCGAAAGCGUGGGGAGCUAACAGG